AUUGAACGCUGGCGGCAGGCCUAACACAUGCAAGUCGAGCGGAGCGGCGGACGGGUGAGUAAUGCCUAGGAAUCUGCCUGGUAGUGGGGGAUAACGUCCGGAAACGGGCGCUAAUACCGCAUACUAUCAGAUGAGCCUAGGUCGGAUUAGCUAGUUGGUGGGGUAAAGGCCUACCAAGGCGACGAUCCGUAACUGGUCUGAGAGGAUGAUCAGUCACACUGGAACUGAGACACGGUCCAGACUCCUACGGGAGGGAGCAGUGGGGAAAAUUGCCCAAUGGGCGAAAGCCUGAUGCAGCCGUGCCGUGUGUGUGAAGAAGGCCUUCGGGUUGUAAAGCACUUUCAGCGGGAAGGCGUUACCCGCAGAAGAAGCACCGGCUAACUCCGUGCCAGCGGCCGCGGUAAUAA
rnacentral:rRNA from 1 species